rnacentral:rRNA from 1 species
CCUACGGGAGGCAGCAGUGAGGAAUAUUGGUCAAUGGACGAGAGUCUGAACCAGCCAAGUAGCGUGAAGGAUGACUGCCCUAUGGGUUGUAAACUUCUUUUAUAAAGGAAUAAAACGAGGCACGUGUGCCUUUUUGCAUGUACUUUAUGAAUAAGGAUCGGCUAAAUCCGUGCCAGCAGCCGCGGUAAUACGGAGGAGCCGAGCGUUAUCCGGAUUUAUUGGGUUUAAAGGGAGCGUAGAUGGGUUGUUAAGUCAGUUGUGAAAGUUUGCGGCUCAACCGUAAAAUUGCAAUUGAUACUGGAAGUCUUGAGUACAGUUGAGGUAGGCGGAAUUCGUGGUGUAGCGGUGAAAUGCUUAGAUAUCACGAAGAACCCCGAUUGCGAAGGCAGCUUACUAAACUGUGACUGACAUUGAUGCUCGAAGGUGUGGGUAUCAAACAGGAUUAGAUACCCUUGUAGUC